GAUUUCUGGCCUGGAGUGCCUGGCCCGCCAGCGUUAGCUGUGUGAGUGUCGGGACGCUUCUGCCAUCCUUCUAGAGAACUUACUUACCUUUCAUUAGGCCGAGUAAGCCAUCUAGAUCUUUUACUUUGAAAAAAUUAGAGUGUUUCAAGCAGGCUUUAUGCUAUGAAUACAUUAGCAUGGAAUAAUAAUUUAGGACUUCGGUUCUAUUUUGUUGGUUUCUAGGACUGAAGUAAUGAUUGAUAGGGAUAGUUGGGGGUGCUAGUAUUCAGCGGCCAGAGGUGAAAUUCUCGGAUUCGCUGAAGACUAACUUAUGCGAAAGCAUU
rnacentral:rRNA from 1 species